CUUGGCCGAACCGAGCCACAGCGGGCGGUCGUCGGUGCGGUCCCUGCCGUAGGUGUCCUGCAGCGCCUCCAGCUC
rnacentral:antisense_RNA from 1 species